AUCGAUGAAGAACGUAGCGAAAUGCGAUACUUGGUGUGAAUUGCAGAAUCCCGUGAACCAUCGAGUCUUUGAACGCAAGUUGCGCCCGAAGCCGUCAGGCCGAGGGCACGUCUGCCUGGGCGUCACGC
rnacentral:rRNA from 1 species